UACCUGAGCUCAGCAGGUGCUUCCUGGGAAGGCAAAGAUCUGGGAAGUCACACAAAUUUUCAGGGCUGCAGGUGGAGGAUAAGGUCCUGCUCUUGCCUGGUGAUUGAUGGUGCUGAAAUGGAAGAGUUUCAUCCCUACAGUUUGCAGAGAAGGCAGCAUUGUCCCGAAAGUGAACAGGACUAAAUUCCCUGUCACUGGAUACCUGUGCUUGUUUUGGUGGGAAUAGUUAAGAAAUUUGACGUGGUGUGGGUGAGGUGGCUGCUUGAAGUGACAGAGACACAGUUUCACCUUGUGGUUUUCAGCAGUUUGCAGAAGAACUCUGCUAAAACAGAAGCAUUCAAAAAGCAAACUGAGAUCAUGUGGCUGCUUCAAGUGCAGGUGAAACUGUGUUCAGCAGUGCUACUGAGAAGGCACAGAAGAGAUCAGGUGUAAUCACAGAGCAGAGAUGAACUUUUUUUUUUUUGAUAAUCCAAGUCUAUGUAUUAAAAUACACAUUUUGAUUUGGGAAUUAAGAAACCUGGAGCAACGUUGUAGAAGUUUAAUACAAAACAGUAGUAAAUAUGCAAAAUACAGGUGAUAAGCAGAGCAGUGAGGCAAAAGGAAAUAAUAUAAAAGUGGAUUUUUAAAAUGUAAUUCUUUGUAAUUCUUGGCUUUCCCCCAGCCCUGGGUGUAAUGCACUGCCAGUCUAAUCAGGACAACAAUGAGAUGGUGGAAUUUAAUUACCAAAGCAUCAAAGAGGAGAUGGCACAGGGAGGCCUGAUAUCUGCAUUAAAAUGGACUAGGCAGGCUGUGUUUGAGGAAAAUGAGGUGAAAACCACCACAGUUUGGUGAUAUACAGUACUUCUUCAGUGAGAGGACUUCUCCCAGGUGGAUGCAUCCUCUUUCAGCACAGAGAUUUCUAGGAGAUGUCAAACAGUAACAUGAAAAUUGAGAUUACAGUACAGCUGCAGACACAGAGUGAGCCUUUGGUUACAUACAGGUUACACCCUGUCUGCAGGUCUUGGGCAUUUCACCCAGUUCCAGGAGAGAUUCUGUCUUUUUACCCUGCCAUAUUUACUCAGAAGUUGGGUAAGGACCAUUGAGAUGGAGCUGUUUACACAUUUCAUUGAUCUGCAUCAGCACUCCUUAAAGAACAGAUCAAAACUAACAAAUCUACAUAGGACCAACAGAGCAGAAUUAUUCAAGUUCAGUGAAAUAUUACAAACAAAAAGGUUUCCUUUUUAGGAAAACUCAGCUAUGGUAAAAAUAUCUACUACAGUGCACUGCACUGUAAUAAAUAUUCAACAUAAAUUAAUAAUUUACAAGUACCUGAGCAAGUAUACAGAGCACCAUAGCACAGCACAGCACCAAAGGCAGUAGCUCAGAAUUCUUAAAAACAAUGCUGUUUUAAACAUUAAAAAUUCUAAGUAUUGUCAUAGAAAUGAACUCCAGCUGGAGCUGAAAGAUAGUGCAAACUUCUGUCUUCACUUUUUAAAAUAAAGGUGUCAGGUUUUCUACUCAUUUCACAUCCAUAGUGUGGCUGGACCUGGAUACCUGUGGUGGAUGUUUGGGAGCAGGUCUGUUGGAAAGAAAGAAAACAGCAAAUUGUUACUUAAUCUCCAUUUCUCUGGGUGCUCCUCAAUUUUGUACCUGAUCAAAAAUGUCAGUCAUGUUGCAGAAUCUCAGGUGCUCUCCAAAAGCUGUAAGAGUCAGCUUGAAAUGUUGUUGCUUUCAGAAUAUCUGACUAGUUUAAUCAGUUUCUUUGUGCAGUAUUUUUGCUAAAAUGUAGGAGACUAUAUUGAUUCUAUUUUUAAUGUUUCUGAGCACUUAAGUGCUUUACUGCUAGAAUUCUCGUAGCUUAAAACACCACUUUUAUCUUCCCUGGAGCUCACUUUAUUUACAGGAAACUGAGGGAUUUUGGGUAAGAAAACAGCACGGACUAAACCCACUAACAUUGGGUGUAGCUAUUCCACUUCCUGAUUAUUUUUUUCAAACAUUAUAUUUUUGAAGUGCACAAUUUCUAUGCUUUUUGAAUCUUUUGGAUAAUAUUUGUAGAUGACAUCAACUCAUGUUUCUCUGGGAAAUGGGUGAUCAAGAAAUCACUUUUUUGGUGGCUGAUCUUAACAGCAUUCAGUUCUUAGCCUAAUUCAGAUGGGGAGGUCUGAGGAGAAAAUUCAUUAUUUGUUGGUUUUGUAAAUAUGCACCAGGUAUUUACACUUGAGCCUUCACAGGUAUUAUAAAUCCUCAUAUUCUGUGGGAGUCAGAGGAACUGUGCUGGUGCACUUCUAGUGAGAAGCAGCGUGAUAAGUAAAAUUAGAGAUGGAAAUUGUGUUGGAAGUGCUUGUUGCAGCAGUUCCUUGAGCCAUUUUAGCCAUGUUGCUGUGAAGUGCUAAAAUCCAGGUGUUGGGAUUGAUACCUUUUAGGAACUACCUAAAACCAGAGGCCAGACAAAAUUAAGGGAAUAAAAAGGGGUUAUAUUUAUUGAAGGAACUUCAGGCACAUUUUGGGCAGACGAAGCCCCCCAGGGGCUACAUCCAGAAAUGGGUGAUGGGUUUUCACACUUUUUAAAGUUUGGGCCAUUUGCAUAUUGGGGGUUAAUAUUCUAAUUACAGCUUCAGUUAAUUACGUAAUUUACCUCAAGUUUUGUCCCCCACAAAACACAGUUUUGUUGACACUUCUGAGCCCUGAGGCAGCGAGGUGUCCUUGAUCGCCAGGCCUGGCGAGGAAUUGCUGUGUCUGCCCAAAAUGGGGAAGGAGCAGCUGACACUGUGUAUGGAGUUUGGGUUGCAGUGAUGGACUGCGGGGUUCCAAACAGAUGGCAAAUACACGAGCUGGCUUCCUUGGCAGCAGGACCUGCAAAACAAGACAAAUGGCUUAACAUAAAAAACAUCCGAGAGCAGCCCUGGCUGAUAAGGGCUUCUAAUCAGACAGUGACACAUCAGAGAGGAAUAAAGCUUGGAGAAAAAAGGAGAUGUGCUGAUAGCUGCCUGCUGCACACUGAGGUGGCAAAGAGCAACUCGCCACGGAGGAAGAGGGAUCCUAAAAACCAUUAUUUCUUUGGCAGCAGCAGCAUUAUCUGCCUGGUAACUUCAGUUCCUCCUGCCUGCACAGGAGCAGCAGAGCUUUGUCAGCCCCCCAAGUAUUACAGAAGGGGUACUGGGGACAGCCAAAGGUGACACAGAGACUUUAUCAUUAGAAGGCAUGAAAAGACACUUUAUUAUUAGAAAUCUUCAGUUCUUAUAGAAACAAUGGUGGACCUAAGACCUGAUUGGCCUUUAGGAAUCUUCUCUCACACUAUUGGUGAACUAUGAAUAGCACACUCUAGAAAACCAUAUCUAUAAACAAUGGUUACAGAAAGAGAGAUAAUAAUUGCUUGAAUUCUUUUGUCUAAGUUUCUCACAGCUUCUACAUAGCUUCCCAGGAUAUUUUUUCCAGAUACAUAAUUACUACACCCCGAGCUUUCCUCUUCAUCAAGGGCUUGCACUGGGCCCAGCAUGGAUUUUUCCAUGGCUCCAAGAUGAACCACUUGCUGGAGUAAGCUGUGAAAAGGGCUCAGGGCUGAGGAAACCCUCGGGGAGCUUUGAUACCACACCUGCACUGGCUGUAGAGACACAGGGCUCUGUGCUGAGAGUUUUAAUGUGAGUGAGGGAACAGUUUGUGAGGCCAGACCAGC